rnacentral:rRNA from 1 species
GACAGAGGGUGCAAACGUUGUUCGGAAUUACUGGCGUAAAGCGAGUGUAGGCGGUCUGAAAAGUCAGGUGUGAAAGCCCUGGGCUCAACCCAGGAAGUGCACUUGAAACUGCCAGGCUAGAGUGUCGGAGAGGUUGGUGGAAUUCUCGGGUGUAGAGGUGAAAUUCGUAGAUAUCGAGAGGAACACCGGUGGCGAAGGCGGCCAAC